AUUGACGGACAAGAGAGUCAUCGGAGAAGGAGCGGUACCUCCGGCAGUCACGGCAGUGUCGGUCACGACCGCGGAUGCUGAAAUGGCAGGAAGAGGCUGAUGUUCUUAGGUCAAGGGGCUAGGGUUUACGAUCUCGAGGAUUUCAGGAAUUUCAUUGAAGAAGGUCAAGGGUUGUCCGAAUUAGGACUUGCUUCAAGUCUUCAUCUUGCUCCUGUGUCAGUUUCAUCAGGUUCUUACAGCACAGGUGAAGAGUGUUGAGGACCAUGGCAACAUUCUUCAUUUUGGAGUCCCAUUGUUCACUGGGUUUCUCCCUAGGAGUGGUCAAGUAUACAAUAGCAAUGAUGGGAUAUGGUCCUGAAGACAGAAGUGCAGUGUUGGAAUUGACCUACAACUAUGGAGUGAAGGAAUAUGACAAAGACAAUGCAUAUGCACAGGUAAUCCUUGUUUCCUUCUACAAAUGACCAGUGUAAGAUUUAGGAUCUGUUAUAUUCAGAUGUAAACAGUUACAUCGCAUACUUCUUAUGGAUACUUUACCGACACAGUCUUUUCCUUUGCGUCUCCAAUUUUUUAUUAUGACGGAAUGUGGUGCACUUAGGAUUUUUAUAGUUGGCAAUCGCCAUGGUAAUUCAGAAAAUCACCUUGUCAACCACGCACUCUAAGAAGUUUUCUAAGAAUAAGAACAAAAAGAUAGAAAUUACUCCACUUCAGCUACCCCCACCCCCUAAAAAAUCAAAAUAAAAACUCUAUGCUCAUUAAACUCCCCUACUCUUCCGCUUCAACUCCAACAGCAUAACCAGCCUACUCCAAUAAACACUCAUUAACUUCCACAUUAACUACUUGCAGAGCUACAUGAACUCAAAGUUUUGAUCUUUCAGACCUUGUGCCCCCUAAUAGCUUAUCCCACCUUCUCCUCAUUUACAAUCACAAAUCUAAAUCCUAGAUAUGGCCCCAAAGAUUCUUAACAAAACAGCCUCAAUGUUUCUGGCUAAUCCACGAUUAUAAACCAGAUACUUUGAAGCACUAAAUAUAGGAUAUUUAUGACAUUCUUACUAUCUAAAACAAACAUUGGAUAUUUUUCACACUCUUACUAUCUAAAACAAACAUAAACUGUUUAUUGUUUCUUUCAUAUUAAAAGAAGAGGCGUUGUUGACUACAUAUUGGGAAAAAAUUACACCAAAUGAAGGUAACUAAAAUAUGUCAAAAGUAGAAAUUAUUUUUUCCCCUUCAUUGCGGCAUUUGCAAUCAGAAAAAAAUAUAAGAAAAGUUGGCAUAUAUUGAUUUCAAAUUUAAAAGCAUAUUCUAUAUGCCUAAUGAAGUUUUUAUUUUUUUUAUUCAGGUAACCAACAAAUGAGAGUCCAUGAAAAUUCUAGAUUUAAUCUAUCAUCCAAUUAUAGUGUUCUCAUUCCUCAGCCCUACACCUUCAUCCCCCAAAUUCUUGUAAUACUACAGCAAACCUGGCACAUGAUUUAUCUAUGCAAGACAUAUCAAACAAUUGUCUAUUUAUCUGCAACCUUCAAGCCUUUUCCGCAGCAACUAUAGUCAGAGUUAUAAAGCGAACAUGAUUGUUCUAUUAUUCCCACAUCCAGUAUAAGUAUCUGUAAAUGAAUCUCAAGACUUAUGAUACAGCAAACAAUUGUCCAUUUGUCUGCGACCAUCAAGCCAUUUUUCCAACUAUUGUAGUCGAUGUUAUAAAGCCAACACAAUUGUUCUAUUAUUGCCACAUCCAUUAUAAGUAUAUCCUUCUGUUAAUGCAUCUCAUGACUUAAUACUAUGUUCUCUUUCAGAUUUCUAGAUUGAACUGAAAUGCAAGGCUACCUUCAGUUCAGCCAUAUGUUUAUGGCUUAUCAUUUUUAAGAUCAAUUUCGGCAUUUGAUGAUAUGAACGGCACUUAUUCCAUACUAUAUAUCUAUUACAUAUUACUAUUAUUAAAGAUUAAAGAUAUGCCCUUUUUCGGUAUUCUAUCCCUAUGGAAGUCUUGAAUUCAAAUAAUUUCAUGAAAUGUCCAUAUAAUUUACACAUAGAUAAGGGUCAUGAAAAUUAUGUCAUAUGUCCUACUUAACCACUCCUAUUAAAUGCCUCUGCAUCCUUAGUUCAAUGUUUGAUUUAUCAUCAUGUUUCUUUAAAGAACAAAUGUCAAAGUCAGGUAUAUCAACAUCAACAAUGCACAUGGAAACAAGCCAUAUAGAUCUCGAUAAUUUGAAGGUAUGUAUGUUAUUGAUGAGUUUGUCAAGUUGAAUUCAAACAUGUUUAUUCUAAUUGUUUCAUUCAUGUUUUGAAAUGUCUCUAGCUUUAAUGUACACCUGAUCUAACUUGUUGUCCUUGUGUUUAUAUUGUUGCGGGUUGGCUUGUUGUAUGAUGAGGUAGCAUUACAAAAUGUUCUAAACAUGACUGCUGACAGGUAAAAGAAGAAAGGGAGAUGUUGAGGAGAAAGGUUUAAAGUUUUAUUUAAACAUAUUGCUUGAGAUUGCACACAGCUUACUACUGUCCGAUUUAUGUGGGCACCUUUAUAUUUUAAAUAUUUGUGCUAUACGCGUUGAAUGUCUUCAGUUAUUGAGAAAUUGAUCAUUAGAGUCUCAAGAGGUACCAAUGAUUGGCUUAAAGACGCCAUUUGGGGAUGGCUUGUUAAGACAUGUUGCUGAAGAUGUUCUAAAGCUGGCUAAGGAUGGCUUGGAAAGAAGAAGUUACAAAGAAGCUGGAUUUCUGAGAGUAAGUGGCUGAGGUGGUUAAUUCAGGUAAGAACAGUUACCAAUUUUGUUGUCUGGAUGACUUAAAUGUGAUUUUUAUGAGUCAAUGGGUGCUGGAUUGGCCAUGGCCCCUAGAGACAUUGCAUUCAAGCUAGGAGAACUCAAACUAGGAGAGUUACUGGACUCACCUCCCCCAGGACUGGAUGAAGCAAUUGCAAUCUCAAAUAUUUUUUUCUAGGUUAUGCAAUUUGUUGAAUCAUAAGAAUACAAUAUUUUUAGUCGUAUAGUAUGCGUUUGGAUCUGGAUCAUCCUGGCUCUUAUGGCUAAGAUACAACACAUUUUUGAUCUUAUACCCUCCUGGCAUCACAAGCGAGGUCGGCAUGAUAUAUAUAGCUCUGGCCUACAUCAAGGCCUCUGAAAAAUACUUCAUUAGGAUGUCAAACAAGUGGAACUUCUCUUUCGAUUAUUUCUAUGCAGCUAUCAUUGCUCUUGGAAAUUAUGUGCCAAGGAGUGCUCUUGGUAUGGUUGUGAAUGUAUUCCUCUGAAAAACAGAUUGCCAAUGUUUUAUAGAUUAUUGAUUAAAUGUUUUUGCUUUCAG